CCUACGGGUGGCAGCAGUAGGGAAUCUUCCACAAUGGGCGAAAGCCUGAUGGAGCAACGCCGCGUGGGUGAAGAAGGUCUUCGGAUCGUAAAACCCUGUUGUUAGAGAAGAAAGUGCGUGAGAGUAACUGUUCACGUUUCGACGGUAUCUAACCAGAAAGCCACGGCUAACUACGUGCCAGCAGCCGCGGUAAUACGUAGGUGGCAAGCGUUAUCCGGAUUUAUUGGGCGUAAAGGGAACGCAGGCGGUCUUUUAAGUCUGAUGGGAAAGCCUUCGGCUUAACCGGAGUAGUGCAUUGGAAACUGGGAGACUUGAGUGCAGGAGAGGAGAGUGGAACUCCAGGUGUAGCGGUGAAAUGCGUAGAUAUAUGGAAGAACACCAGUGGCGAAAGCGGCUCUCUGGUCUGUAACUGACGCUGAGGUUCGAAAGCGUGGGUAGCAAACAGGAUUAGAUACCCGAGUAGUC
rnacentral:rRNA from 1 species